AGAGUUUGAUCCUGGCUCAGAACGAACGCUGGCGGCAGGCCUAACACAUGCAAGUCGAACGCAUCCUUCGGGGUGAGUGGCAGACGGGUGAGUAACACGUGGGAACGUGCCUUUCGGUUCGGGAUAACCCAGGGAAACUUGGGCUAAUACCGGAUACGCCCUUUGGGGGAAAGAUUGAUUGCCGAAAGAUCGGCCCGCGUCUGAUUAGCUAGUUGGUGAGGUAACGGCUCACCAAGGCGACGAUCAGUAGCUGGUCUGAGAGGAUGAUCAGCCACACUGGGACUGAGACACGGCCCAGACUCCUACGGGAGGCAGCAGUGGGGAAUAUUGGACAAUGGGCGCAAGCCUGAUCCAGCCAUGCCGCGUGAGUGAUGAAGGCCCUAGGGUUGUAAAGCUCUUUCGGCGGGGACGAUAAUGACGGUACCCGCAGAAGAAGCCCCGGCUAACUUCGUGCCAGCAGCCGCGGUAAUACGAAGGGGGCUAGCGUUGUUCGGAAUCACUGGGCGUAAAGGGCGCGUAGGCGGCCAUUCAAGUCGGGGGUGAAAGCCUGUGGCUCAACCACAGAAUUGCCUUCGAUACUGUUUGGCUUGAGACCGGAAGAGGUCAGUGGAACUGCGAGUGUAGAGGUGAAAUUCGUAGAUAUUCGCAAGAACACCAGUGGCGAAGGCGGCUGACUGGUCCGGUUCUGACGCUGAGGCGCGAAAGCGUGGGGAGCAAACAGGAUUAGAUACCCCGGUAGUCC
rnacentral:rRNA from 2 species